UAAGACAAUGCCAAAAUAUCGGACACUAGACUUACAUUCCGUCUCCACAACUCCGUUUUCUGUGUCUUCAUGGAUUGUGUGGGAAGCAGUGUGUGUCCUCGUGCCUGUGUCAUUGUACCUCUGACCAGGCCGCUUCGCUGACUGAAUCCAAGCUCAUGGGAUUCGAACGAGAACGAUGAGAUAAAAGAGAAGUUCUCCAUUCCGCGCAGUGCUCAAGUUACCUUUGUACAGAUGACAGGACGCGACGCUCCAUCUGGGAAAGUCACGGUAGCUUAAUGAAGUGGUGAGAGCCGCCCAAGACAGCCUGGCGGGCACAGACGAGUUGCGCGUGGGAGUCUGUCAGCAGUACAGUAGUAGUCAGGAGUCCAGUGACCUUUUGUAAUCAUUUCCUCUGUGUUUUGUGUUAUUCUCUGUCUCAAGUUCUCUGAUCCGCUGACAAUCCUUACAAAAACUGCUUAUUGAUGGAUACCAAAGAACUUCAGAUUGAAGGAAAAGGCAAAACGCAGUAGAAGGGAAGACAAAAAGUUUACCCUGCUUCUGAUCACGAGCGUACCAGACCCACUCCCCUCCCAGACCAGCCAGACAAGGGAUCUCAAUUCGCAAUGUGAUGGAAAAAGCCCGCUGGAGAGGUUUUGCUUGUUGGGUGGACGCUCCGAACAACAGACCUAACGCUGCCCUCCAGUACUGUGUCUGUCUGGCUGCUACCACUGCCACCCGCACCCUGCUACCGAAAGCACAUCACUCCGUCACCAGCAAGGAAGUCGUGUAAUGGUAUACGCGAGGAUUUAAUACAUGAACAUAAAACGAAGAAGAGAGGAAGGGCCGUGGAAAAGACGCACACUCUCUCGCCCGGGACAGCAGCAGUAGCACCCGGCCCUCCACCACCACCACCACCACCACUGCCACCACCGCCAUCACCGCCGCCCCCUGAAUUAUAAAUGCACAUUAGUGUGAUUGAAUAUUCAUGUUAUUCAUACGUCAUUUUACAUGUGGCUGGACGAGGCGUUUAACAAAUCAUUCGUAUCGCACUGAAAACCCGACCGGCUGAUCUGGCAAAGGCAUUUCAUUUCCACCACUGAAAAAAAAAAAGAAGUUUACUGAUAAAAAAAAAAGAAAGGAACGAAAUGGCUUCCUAGUUGAGAAGUCCAGCGUGCCUGUAAAGUUUAACUAGUGAUUUUGUACUUACAGGAGCAUCAGAUUUUUUUCUUGUCUCUUCCGGUAAGUUUUGAAAGCAUUUUGACCCUCAAUCGUUUCUCUCUCUCUCUCUCUCUCUCUCUCUCUCUCUCUCUCUCUCUCUCUCUCUCUCUCUCUCUCUCUCUCUCUCUCUCUCUCUCUCUCUCUCUCUCUCUCUCUCUCUCUCUCAUUCAACUCGACUUAUGAUCCCGUUGUUACGCAUUGAUAUCAGCCAAUCACUCACUCACCUCGUCCACACCACCAUCAUCACCACCAUCUCUGCCUUGAUGCCUCACUUUUCUUCAGUCUCCUCCACUUGUCUCUGUCGGCUGCCUGUCUACUCUGGAGCACUUCAGCAAAAAUUCUCCUCUUAUCUCUCCAUCAAGUUCUUCACCUUCUCUUCAACGGAUUGCAAUUCUGUUACUAUGAUCGUUCAUUUGUUGUAUGUCCGGCGCAUGGUGUGUCUUUGUCAUGUCCACUUUGUUUUCUUUAUUUUAAUUCUGAUCAAAAUAUAUUGAAGA